rnacentral:piRNA from 8 species
UGGAACGAUACAGAGAAGAUUAGCA